CUGAUGAAAUCUUAGACAAAUCUUCUCUUCAAAGAUUUUUGGUUGCGUCAAUUAUGUUGGCGAUUUUAUCCAAGAGAUAAGGUUGCUUUGCGCUCCUCUUUUCAAAAGAUCACAAAAGAAUCCGGACCCAUGGUAUCACGAGUGCACGUUAACAAUCCAAAAAGUCAAAAAAUCUGUCAAAAAUAUUUCAUGCUUAUCAAUUAUUGAUCCUAUUGUGUUAAUUAUUGUACUAACCACAAGUGCAAUAAUGCAUAUUCCAAAAAAGUAAAAUCA
rnacentral:lncRNA from 1 species